rnacentral:lncRNA from 1 species
CCUGGAGUAUUUCAGCGGCUCCAUGACCUCUAUUUUCAUUUCUCACAUACUUUUCUUUUGAUCCCUCGAUAAAAAUAUCAAAGAAUUUCAAUAGGUUCAUUUAUAAUUAUAAUCUCAUCUGGGAUCAUCACCUGUUCCCAUUUAUCAGCAUUAGCAAGGAAAAGUGGUACAUUUUUAUUUUUAUUUAAUGAAGAACCAGCUGCUUUAACAGAUGUUUCAUAAAUUUAGAAGAUGCCUUGCACUUCUUCAUCAGAGAAAGAACACCUAAAUGCUCUCUACUUACACAACAACGAACAACUCUUGCUCUGUUCCUACACUGUACAGAUAAGAAAGCUAAAGUGGAGAGAGAUUGAGUAA